rnacentral:rRNA from 1 species
GUAGUCCACGCCGUAAACGUUGGGAACUAGAUGUGGGGGCCAUUCCACGGCUUCCGUGUCGCAGCUAACGCAUUAAGUUCCCCGCCUGGGGAGUACGGCCGCAAGGCUAAAACUCAAAGGAAUUGACGGGGGCCCGCACAAGCGGCGGAGCAUGCGGAUUAAUUCGAUGCAACGCGAAGAACCUUACCAAGGCUUGACAUAUACGAGAACGCUGCAGAAAUGCAGAACUCUUUGGACACUCGUAUACAGGUGGUGCAUGGUUGUCGUCAGCUCGUGUCGUGAGAUGUUGGGUUAAGUCCCGCAACGAGCGCAACCCUCGUUCUAUGUUGCCAGCACGUUAUGGUGGGAACUCAUAGGAGACUGCCGGGGUCAACUCGGAGGAAGGUGGGGAUGACGUCAAAUCAUCAUGCCCCUUAUGUCUUGGGCUUCACGCAUGCUACAAUGGCCGGUACAAAGGGCUGCAAUACCGCAAGGUGGAGCGAAUCCCAAAAAGCCGGUCUCAGUUCGGAUUGAGGUCUGCAACUCGACCUCAUGAAGUCGGAGUCGCUAGUAAUCGUGGAUCAGCAACGCCACGGUGAAUACGUUCCCGGGCCUUGUACACACCGCCCGUCAAGUCAUGAAAGUCGGUAACACCCGAAGCCAGUGGCCCAACCGCAAGGAGGGAGCUGUCGAAGGUGGGAUCGGUGAUUAGGACU